rnacentral:rRNA from 1 species
CCUUAGAUGUUCUGGGCCGCACGCGCGCUACACUGACAGAGCCAACGAGUUCCAACCUUGGCCGAGAGGUCUGGGUAAUCUUGUUAAACUCUGUCGUGCUGGGGAUAGAGCAUUGCAAUUAUUGCUCUUCAACGAGGAAUAUCUAGUAAGCGCAAGUCAUCAGCUUGCGUUGAUUACGUCCCUGCCCUUUGUACACACCGCCCGUCGCUACUACCGAUUGAAUGGCUCAGUGAGGCCUUCGGACUGGCUCAGGGAGGUCGGCAACGACCACCCAGAGCCGGAAAGUUGGUCAAACUUGGUCAUUUAGAGGAAGUAAAAGUCGUAACAAGGUUUGAGUAAAAAANCUCAGCGAGAUAUCCUUCCCGCUGGUGACGCUUAUGAGAAGCCUUUGCAGCCCCGCAAGGGGCAUCCGGCGCGACUAUAAAGAACCAGAACGGAUGUUAAAUUGCAAGUCAGCGCCCGCGCUGGCGACACUUUCGAAUUGCGGGAAAUCCCUAAAGCUUGCGACUACCAACCGCGCUGAGAAAUCCGCGCGGGGCUCGUGCUAACGACAUGAGGUACGGUAACAAGGUCGCAAGAUAAGCAGGAUGGGUGAUCCGCAGCCAAGGCCCUAAAACUUCGGUCAGGGGACAGGUUCACAGACUAAGUGGAAGUGGGUUGAACGGGAGUUCAGCUUAAGAUAUAGUCGGGCCCGGCUGAGAAAUCGCUGGGGAGUCACACGUAUGACAAGUAACUGUUCCGUAGGUGAACCUGCGGAAGGAUCAUUAAAAAAAUGUCUUAACGGACGGCUUUGCGCCGGGCUUGACCGGUCAGAGUUUCAACCAUUUGUGAACCAAACCUUACUUCGCUUCGGCAGCAGGGUCGGGAAAUCCCGCCCCGUCAGCCUGCCGGCAGCACCAAACCAAACCAGUUUUUUGAACCCAGUCUGAACCAUUCUGAAUACGAAUGAAAAUCAAAACUUUCAACAACGGAUCUCUUGGUUCUCGCAUCGAUGAAGAACGCAGCGAAACGCGAUAGUUAAUGUGAAUUGCAGAAUUCAGUGAAUCAUCGAGUCUUUGAACGCACAUUGCGCCCAUUGGUAUUCCGAUGGGCACGUCUGUUUGAGCGUCAUGUCAACACCUCAGCCGGUACGGUCUUGCCUGCCCGGUUGGUUAUGAGCCCGGCUCGCCUCCUUCGUUGGGGGUUCCGGCUUUAAAGUUGCACGCUCUGCGGGCCCCGCCGCCUCUGAACAUAGUAUAAAAGCUGCCUGUUCGUUGAGGGCCGGUUGGGUCUCCCGCCUGAACAAAACUUUUUUUUCUAAGGUUUGACCUCAGAUCAGACGAGGAUACCCGCUGAACUUAAGCAUAUCAAUAAGCGGAGGAAAAGAAACCAACAGGGAUUGCCUCAGUAACGGCGAGUGAAGCGGCAAGAGCUCAAAUUUGAAAUCUGGCUCCUUUGGUGCCCGAGUUGUAAUUUGAAGAGGAUGCCUCGGUUGCGGUCCCGGCCUAAGUUCUUUGGAACAAGACGUCGCAGAGGGUGAGAAUCCCGUACGCGGCUGGCGGCCUGCUUCCAUGUGUGGCUCCUUCGAAGAGUCGAGUUGUUUGGGAAUGCAGCUCAAAAUGGGUGGUAAAUUUCAUCUAAAGCUAAAUACUGGCGAGAGACCGAUAGCGCACAAGUAGAGUGAUCGAAAGAUGAAAAGCACUUUGAAAAGAGAGUUAAACAGUACGUGAAAUUGUUGAAAGGGAAGCGCUUGCAAUCAGACUCGCUAGCGGUUGAUCAACGUUCCUUCUGGUGCGUGCACUCUUCCGCCUGCGGGCCAGCAUCGGUUGGCGCGGCGGGACAAAGGCGUCGGGAAUGUGGCUCUCUUCGGGGAGUGUUAUAGCCCGGCGUGCAAUGCCGCCAGCUGCCGACCGAGGUCCGCGCUUCGGCUAGGAUGCUGGCUUAAUGGUUGUAAGCGAC